GCAGCUAUAUUAUUUCUAAGGAUUACACCUCCUCUGCUUGAGUCCUUAAUAGUAGUGAACCACGAGCGAUCAAAAUAAAUGUGAACAUUAGCUCCUGAAUCCAACCACAAAUCAAGGUUAGAGAAAGUAACAUUAACUUUAGGGUUAGUAGGUUUGACUGGUAUUGUUGGUUUGGUUCAACUCUAGAUUUGAUUUGGAUUUGGUAAGAGUCAAGUUAGCUUGGGCACCUAGGACUCUGGUUUGCUGGGUUUUAAAUCUAUGUUGGUC
rnacentral:lncRNA from 1 species